CCAAUAGCGUAUAUUAAAGUUGUUGCAGUUAAAAAGCUCGUAGUUGAAUUUCGGGAUUGACGUGAUGGCCGUGCCUUACGGGGUAUGAACUGUUGCUGUUGAUUUCUCACCUUCUGGAGAAACUUGAUGUCCUUAAUUGGGUGUCUUGCGGAUCCAGGACCUUUACCUUGAAAAAAUUAGAGUGUUUAAAGCAGGCAUUUUGCUCGAAUACAUUAUCAUGGAAUAAUAGAAUAGGACGGCAUGGUUCUAUUUUGUUGGUUUCUAGGAUCACCGUAAUGAUUAAUAGGGAUAUGUGGGGGCAUUAGUAUUCAAUUGUCAGAGGUGAAAUUCUUGGAUUUAUUGAAGACUAACUACUGCGAAAGCAUUUGCCAAGGAUGUUUUCAUUAAUCAAGAACGAAAGUUAGGGGAUCGAAGACGAUCAGAUACCGUCGUAGUCUUAACCAUAAACUAUGCCGACUAGGAAUCAGACGAUGUUAAUUUUUUAAUGACUCGUUUGGCACCUUACA
rnacentral:rRNA from 1 species